AACGAACGCUGGCGGCAUGCCUAACACAUGCAAGUCGAACGCGUGGCUUCGGCCACGAGUGGCGCACGGGUGAGUAGCGCGUGGGAACCUGCCCUUUGGUUCGGAAUAACCUCGGGAAACUGUGGCUAAUACCGAAUGCUCCCUACGGGGGAAAGAUUUAUCGCCAAAGGAGGGGCCCGCGUCCGAUUAGGUAGUUGGUGAGGUAACGGCUCACCAAGCCUGUGAUCGGUAGCUGGUCUGAGAGGAUGAUCAGCCACACUGGGACUGAGA
rnacentral:rRNA from 1 species